CCCGCCCGCCGGUCGCGGGUCCGGGCUUCGCUGAGGCGCCGCGAGGCUGUGAGGCCUGGGGCUGGACACGGGUUCCACGCAUGCGGGCGAUGCCUGUCUCCCGGCCUUGAGUUAGAGAGAGGACGCCGUACCGCAGCGCGCCGUUUCGUUUCUUCAUUUUUCUCGCCAUUUCCCUAACAAGAAAGAGAACGGCGUCGGCAGCUGGAGGGGUUGCGGUGCCAAGGAUGUGUCGGCCUUUAUGAGGGCCUAGAGGAGGGGCGCGCGAUCGCUUCAGGAGACCUCCACGGGGUCGUCGAGGCUUUGGAGCAGGGUUCCAGGUCCUGAGACUCUAGAGACGACCCCAAAAUUAUUUCCCCGGCUUGAAAAUCCAGCUAGCGAAUGGACCCCCCUCAACCCCAGCGUGCCCAAGUGGAGCUCCUGGUCAAAUGCACUGAAAGAAAACGAAACCGUUCUCUCCCAAGCGAUGGCUACCUCCAUUCUUCGUGGCCAAAAACCUUGGAGUCAUCCCUGCCUCUUUCGCAUCAUCCUAUCGGCUGUGACUUCACCUUUGAUCCCGAACCUGCCCACUCUGGUCCCCUUCACUUGCCACCCCUCUGGUGUGCACCACCUGUGGGAUUGCACUGGCCUCCGGGUUGAUUGCCACCCUGCACCCACACAGUGCAGCCUGAACCCAGCAGCAGAUCACUCCCUCCAAGCCAUCAAUCAAACUAGCUCUCUGCUCAGUGCUUUCCAAGGAUCCUCAGUUCGGAUCGGCUGGGAACUCUCCGUGAUCUGCCCCUAACCAUUUUCUACUGUUCCCACGCUGCUCGUUCGGCUUCAGCUAAACUGGCCUCCCUUGCUGUUCUUUGGGAAAGCUGUUCACACUCAUGCCCCCGGGCCUUGGCGCUUGAGCUUUCCCCAAAUAUACAAGCUGCCUUCUUUUUCCACCAGUCUUGGCUCGAGCAUUGCCUUCUCAAUGCGACUUACCUGACCACUCGAUUUCAAAUUGUAAACCCCUUCCAACAUUCCUAAUGCCCCCUUAUCUUGUUUUCUUUCCCUAGCAUUGAUCUAUCACUUUUUAACAUAAUAUUUACUUAAGUAUAUUGUACUCUGCCUCCCCCAAACACACACACACACACACACAAAUAUAACCAUCAGUCCAGAGAUUGUUCCUGAUUUGUUUAAUGAUGAACCAUAUCUAACAUGUACUAAGUUCUCUUUAUAAAUUUUAUUCAGGAGUGAAUGUCCCCGGAAUGUACACUCCUUAAGAGCAUGGACAGGAGCUCUCUUGUUCAUUGUUGCUUAGAGCAACAACUGGAACUAAAUGAAAAGUGACUACAUUUUCAAAUGGUGACCUGCAAUUCUUUCUGCUUUGACCUUGGUGAAGGCCUAAUACAGCUGUAUCAAGUAGAUUCUGCUGCCUGCAAGAACUUGAAGUUCUAGUUAGUAUUCAAUAAUCAUUUAACCAAGUCAAAUUAGACCCUGGAGGAAAAGCAUCAGAGAACAAAAGAUGUGGUACAACAGAUGUCUGUUCCAUUUCCCCAAAUUUGUGGAGCCAAAAAAAGAGAAACUGUAAAAUGACUGUUUUCCAGCCCUCAUCUGAAAGAUGGUGGGAAAAACCAAGUUGUGAAGAAGAAAACGUAAGAUAGCAGAAAGGGAUGGCUAUGCGGACAAAGGGGACAGGCAUUUCAUAAUCACAUUGCCUGGGAGAAAACGACUUGGCUCAGAGUUCAUGGCAUCUGGCUUUAGGGGAGAGAAAUACUUCAUGUUUCUUCAACCGGAUUUGAAUUUCUGUUUGAUGGAUGACAAAGCACCCUUCCCUCUGCUGGAGUUCUUUGCAGAGGGCCUUGGGGAGAAGGGAAACAGUGGGGUUUAUGUCAGCCCUUCCCUGACUGCGUCCUCACAUGUUUAAAGAGGAAAAUAAUCACACUGACUGACAUUUCCUGAGCGCUGUGUUUCUAGCCCAAAACAGCCCAGUGAGUGGAAGACUAUUAUCCUCAUUUACUGAUUGCAGAGACUGAGGUUUGCAGAGGUUAAUUCCUUUGCCCAAAACCCUCACUCUAGCCUCAAGUCCUUUGCCCACAACCCUCACUCUAACCUCACACUCAACCUUUUCACCAGCAAAAGGAAGGAGACAGCUGGUUUCAGCAUUAAGACUCAGACUGGAUGAAUCUGAAAGAAAUUUGGAAACACCAUGAACAAAGGGAAAACACCUUGAGAGCAUGAAGACAGAGACUGGGAUGUUACCUCUUUGGGUCAAUGAACACUGACGAGUCCCAACAAACCACCAGGAGCUAGGAGAGAGGUAUGGAAGGGAUUCUUCAACACAGCAUCAGAAGAAACCAACUCCAUGGAUACCUUGAUCUCAGACUUCCUGCCUCCAGAAUGAUGAGACAAUCCAUUUUUGCUUUUUAAAGUACCCAGUGGUGGCACUUUGUAAUUUAAGCCCAGGAAACCAGUACAAAAGAGACGUGGAGACAGAGAGUCGGUCUUCCAUCCGCUGGUUCACUCCCCAGAUGGCUGCAACAGCUGGAGCUGCACCGAUCGCUGCGCUGAUCUGAAACCAGGAGCCAGGAGCUUCUUCCGGGUCUCCCACAUGGCUGCAGGGGCCCAAGGACUUGGGCCAUCCUCCACUGCUAUCCCAGGCCAUAGCAGAGAGCUGUAUUGGAAGAGGAGCAGCCAGGACCAGAACCAGUGCCCAUAUGGAAUGCCGGCGCUUCAGACCAGGGCUUUAACCCGCUGCUCCACAGCGCCAGCCCCAAUGAUGAAAUAUACUUUAUAUAUUGCACAAUUCACCUACUUAAAGUGUAUAAUCCAAUGGAUUUUAGUAUAUUCAGAGUUGUGCAAUAGUCAUUACAAUUUUAGGAGAUUUUCAUAAUCCCAAAGGAAACUUCAUGUCCCUUAGCAUCACUCCUCAUUUCUCCCAUCCCCCCAAGCCCUAGGCAACCACUAAUCUGAUUCCUGUCUUUAUAGAGUUGCCUCUUCUUACCAUUUCAUCCAAAUUAAGUCAUUCAAUGUGUCAUCUUCCGUAACUGGCUUCUUUUACUUAGCAUAAUGUUCUCAAGAUUCAUUCAUGAUGUCGUAUGUAUCAGAACUUCAUUCUUUUCAUUGAAGAAUAAUAUUCAUUGUGUGAAUGUACCACAUUGUAUUUAUCCAUUCUAAUGGAUUUUGGGUUGCUUCCACUUCUUGGCUAUGAUAAAUAAUGCUGCUAUGAACAUUUGUGUAAUGGUUUGUUUGUUUGUUUAUAGAUGUAUAUCUCCACUUCUCUUGAAUAUAUACUUAGGAGUAGAGUUGCUGGGUCAUGUGGUAACUCUAUGUUUAAUAUCUUGAA